UACGGGGGGGGGCAAGCGUUGUUCGGAAUUACUGGGCGUAAAGGGCGCGUAGGCGGUUCGCUAAGUUGGAUGUGAAAAACUCUGGGCUCAACCCCAGAGCCUGCAUCCAAAAACUGGCGGGCUAGAGUUCUGGAGGGGGUAGCGGAAUUCCUGGUGUAGCGGUGAAAUGCGUAGAUAUCAGGAGGAACACCGGUGGCGAAGGCGGCUACCUGGACAGAAAACUGACGCUGAGGCGCGAAAAGCUAGGGGGAGCAAACAGG
rnacentral:rRNA from 1 species